GGCCUGGUGCUGGAGCUGAGGGAGUGAGGGGUUAAAUAAGUAGGUAGGAAUUGCUUCCAUAACUAUUGAUAGCAAAAAAAAAAAAACAAAAACACUUCAAAGAAACAAAUUCCAGGCAAAGAAUGGGGGAGGGGAAGGAAGAAAGAAUUUUAAAAGAGAUUGUGUUACAGAUUGGUAUAGAAAUUCUCUUGGAAUCUGGGUUUCCUUUUAUGACAUCUGGGGUCUACAUGCUUCGUAGAUGGCAACAAGCAAAAGAAAAAAAGGUAUUACCAACUUGGUGUAUUACUGUUCAACAGGAGGAUUUAUCCUAAGUGGGUAUCACUGACAUCACCUUUUGAAGCAGUUAUUUUGCAUGAUCCAGCCCCGACUUUAGGGCCUGCCUUGCUCCUAAAAGCUGGCCUCCGUUUGCCAGUCAUCUGCCUGGUCACCCUUGUGCAGCCAUGGUGUGGCUCUGGUCCAGGACAUCACAGCCUUCUCCUCUUCGUUUGCCAUAAACCCAGUUACCCAUCUGGUGUGCCCACAGGUAUAAGUCACACUUGCUCCUUAGCUGGGCUUCCAAAAUGCUAUCUCGGCUCCGAUGGGAAGUUGGUUGACAGAUGUUAAGUCAGUAGCUCGGAACAGAAAAAUACGGGAAAGCCCAUGGUACCCUUUCUCUCAUGGUACAUCAGACCUUGUGAUAAGCUCUACCUUACAGAUGAUAGGUGAUUAGACUUCGGUGAUAACUAUGAAGGUUGAAUCAUUUGAAAAGGCCUGUAAUUGACCAUUUUUGAUCUACCAAAGCAGCAAUUUCAUGUGAUUCAAUAACAUCUUCUGAUUCUUUCUUCUUGCUGCAGAAGUUAUGAAAUUAGGUUUUUCUCUCUCUUUCCAUGAACAGAUUAUCAGCAUCAAUCCACUUAUUGAACUGAAAUCUACCAUUUUGAAUUUGGUCUUCUGUCCAGGCCAGUCAAGCUACUUCUCAAAGAGCAUUUGCUGCUCUGUCCCAGUGGUCACUGAUAGACAUUGCUGGAAAGUCUGAACAACACAACUGGACAGCAAUUAGACCAAAUGCAAUGAUGAUUUUAUUUCCUAAAUGGUGUUCCCUUUACCCCACGGAUUAACUAGCUUGAUCAUUUGGACAAAAGACUGUGAAAAAUCACUGUAUUAUAAAAUAAUUGAUAUAGUAUUUUCAGGUGUUUGUCCAUGGGGACAAUUGAUAAUUAUUGAGUUUCUACCAUGUACAGGGAAUUAUGAGGCAAUGUCAAAAAGGGAAAGAUGAGACACCAGUUCUUUUCUUCAGGAACUUACAGUAUUACUGGAGAGCUAAAGCAUGUGACAUAAAUACAACACAAGAACACAUGACAGCAAGUAGGAAGUGCCACAAAAGAAGUACCAAUGGAGUGUUUGAACAGCUAGAGGAGAAAGAUCCUGCUCUCACAUGAAGGAAUCCAGAAAUACCACUAGGAGGAGGUGGGAAAUCUCCUAGUUGGACUUUUCAUGGGCUACGGAGGGCAGCAAAAUCUGAACCAUCACCCUCAGAACAGCACUUAUUUCCUGAGCUCAUAUGUGCUGCGGGUCAGCUACCAAGCUAAGCCUUUCACGAACAUGAGUUACUUUGACGUCUCACAGCAACUCUUUGAGGCACAGUCCUCAUUACUAGGGAUACAGCAAUGAACACCUCAAAGUCCUGGCCCUCUGAGCUCCUUUCUAGAAGAAAGAUCAGCUGCUGAUAAGCGUUGUGAAGAGCAAUAAAGCAGAGAAAGGAAACAGAGUAUGAAGAGAGGUGAUCUUUUAGGUAGAGGGAUCAGGAAAGGUCUUCUGAGCAAGUGGCUUUUGAGCAGAGACGUGAAUGAAGUGAGGAAGAGAACCAUGGGAGAACAACCUUCCAGACAGAAGAGCAAGACCAAGUCCUCAAGGAGGGUGCCUGUUCCGUGUGUUCGCAGGGAGACCACUGUGUUCUACGUAAAGCUUUGGAGAAUGAAUGUGCCCUGGUGGGUUCUUUCUCAGCCCCCUCUGUAUACAAGGAUGACCAUACGUCUUAUAUUUCCCAGAAGAAUUGCAAUUUUAUGAAUUUUAUUCUCUUUUAAAUGAUUCAUUGAAGUUGUAACAAAAUGUGAUUUGGCACUUAUACUCUUGAAAGAUUUUCCAUAAUACACAUAAAUUUGGCCACCA
rnacentral:lncRNA from 1 species